rnacentral:rRNA from 1 species
UACAGAGGGUGCAAACGUUGUUCGGAAUUACUGGGCGUAAAGCGCGUGUAGGCGGCCAUCUAAGUCGGGCGAUGAAAUCCCACGGCUCAACCGUGGAAGUGGCACUCGAAACUGGAUGGCUAGAGUCCUGGAGAGGAAGGUGGAAUGCUUGGUGUAGAGGUGAAAUUCGUAGAUAUCAAGCGGAACACCGGGUGGCGAAGGCGGGCCUU